GGCGGGGAGCAGCGGCUCGCAGCCCCCAGCCAAUGGCCGCUGCCCGGCCGGGGCUCAGCCCCGGCGCGGCAGCUCCGCAGCCCGGCAGAGCCCCGUCCGCAGGGGCGUCGCGCUAACAGCUGCUCUGCGUCUAGUGUUUGAAAAGCCGACCGAAAGACGGGUUUCAGCAGCGGGCAAAGACUACGUUAGCGUAAAGAGAAGGAAGAUGAGAACAACAGAAAUGGCUUACGAUUUACAAACACUGCCUGAAGUACAACCAUUUCCAGCAACCGUCCUCUGAUCCAGAAGAGGCAUUUUCCAGUUAAGCUUACUAAUUAAACUUCGUAUGUACAUGUGACAGUGAUCUUCAGGGUUUCCACUGAUCAUUUAUGCGGAGGAUCCAGCAGGUAAGAUCAGAAGCAGCAGUUUCACUUUCAAGGCCAAGCCAGGUGUGAGCCCACAGGGGCUGGAGAAAGACCCAGGCACAGGGGCAGCCCCCAGAGAGCCGCCAGGGGAGGGCGAGAAGGGGCCAGCCCAGCACCUGCCUUUCCCAUGCUGGCUUCACAGGAGCCUGCACAGCAUUUGGGUCUCAACGAGCUCAGAUUCAAAUCUGCAGGUACCACAAAAAAAAACUGCGAUUCAUUUUGAGGACUUUUCUAGAAAAGAACUGGGCCCGAAGGAAAGCCUUCAGUCUGGCUUCAUUCAGAGUUUGAUCACAGGAAGGUGAUAAGGCAGGACUGAAACGCUGGCGAUGGAGCUGCAGGAACGCUCGCUUGGAAUCACCUUCCAAGCACCGCACAGUCCAAGUGAGCUGUGUUAUAUCCAGGUAAACAAACCAGAGUACACCCUUGAUCUCACAGUCCUGCCAAGAUUUUCCUGUAUACCCCAAGGAGCCUCAUUUCAAUGAAAUUCCAGUCAUGCUACAGAGAAGGUUUUAAACAAGUCUCAUCAAGUGAGCAGAGUCUUCCAAGCACAAACAGCAUCAGAAGACUGGCUUUUAAUGUUUUCAAGACUUCCUUCAUCAUAGUGACAGCAUGACUUUUUUUAAAGUAUGGCUUGACAUAACAUGAGAGGAGCUGGUACAGACCAGGCCAUAAAAUUGCUGAGUCACUUUGCCCUAAUCCGAUACACUGGAAACUGGUUUGGUCCGUGACUGCAAGUCAGUAACAAAAACAAUCCUGGGCUGGUAAAACAGCAGGGUUAUACUACCGUUGUGCAUGCUGCCAAGUACAUGGAGCCGACUUCAACCCACAGAGGCUUCCCUGUCCUAGGGGUAGCUGCUGCAAAGCAGUGGCAGGUCCAGUGGGCCUAGCAGGCUUGUCUAACUGUACCCCAAAGGCCAGAAAACAAGUCUGCAUCACACAUGCUUCAUUUUGACACAUCUGCCCCAAAUCCCCAGUAAUUAAAAUAAAUAAAUAAAUAAAAAGAUGCAGAUUGCA